UCCUUGGAGGACUAGUGGUUAGGCCUCGGUGAUCUCACCGCAGCGGCCCAGGUUCGAUUCAGGCCGGGGAA
rnacentral:tRNA from 1 species